rnacentral:lncRNA from 1 species
UCUAGAAUAAUUACAUUUUCCUCCCCUUCAAAUCAACUGUUUCCUUAAGGUUGUGUUUGAGAUAAGGAUCAUAGAAACCGACUACGGAUAAAACUCCAAUCAUCCUGGUGGCCACGUCGGUGUUGAGAUUAUUCCAGUGCACAUAAACUUGCACCAUAAUAGUGUUAUUACACUUGAUGUUGUGACGAAAAAGAAUAGACAAAGGUUAUGUGACCAUCAGAGUCGCAAGCCUAAGGAACUUGAUUGGAAGUGAUAUCAAGUCUAAUGCGACAUUUGAGCUAGGAUACCUAAAACACAAGGUGGAUCGGUGACCCCUGAGGAAGCUCUAAAUAGUGAGCCACUUCCACUAUAUUCUCUAGCAUUACAUAUAUUCUGUAAUACUUAGCGCUUAGCGUAGGCUUUUGCCUCACCUUCAUUGAUGACUGUUGAUAAGGCUGUAACUUUAGGUAAACCUUAUCCCCUACUUGCAAGGUCCUUUUCGUCCUAUUUUUGCCAGCGUAAAACUUCAUUCUUGCUUGAGCUAGCUACAAAUUCUACUUAAGAUGCUACAAAAUCUACCGUCGUUAAGGUGCAGAUGCUUCAGCCUAAUUAUGAGGCAAAUGCCUUAGCGAACACAUACGAAUUUGUGGUGGAGCGAAGCCAUAAAAGACUUCAAAAGGAGUAGCCUUUAAGGUUGUAUGGUAUUUCAUAUUGUACCAAAACUCUACUAGGUGUAGCCAUUUGGACCACUAUUUAGGUUGGUCAAACACUAUGGCCCUGAGGUAAGUCUCUACAUAUUUGUUGAGACGUUCAGUUUGACCAUCUGAUUGUGGAUGGUAAGCUAGACGUGUUUAUCUUGGUCUUGAGUGUAGUAAACAAUUGUUUCCAAAAUAGGCUUGUAAAAAUGGAAUCUCCAUCUACAACUAUAGAUUUAGGUAGCCUAUGUAGCCUAUAAAUUUCCUUUAAAAAUACUUCAGCUAUAGCCUGAGUAGUGUAAGGGUGCUUCAAUGUGAUGAAAUGACCAUGCUUGGUCAGCCUAUCCACUGCCACCAAAAUGGAAUUUUUAUGGUUGGAUAUAGGUAACCCAUCUAUAAAUUCUAUUCCAAUGUCCUUCCAUAGUGUUUUAGGAAUUGGAAGAGGUUGUAGAAGACCUGGAUAGUGGACAUUCUCAUAUUUGAUCUUUUGACAGAUGUCACCUCACUCAUCCACUAAAAAAUGUUCUUUUCCAUGUUAGGCCAGUAGAAUAGCAUUUUAAUCCUCCUAUAAGUGGCUUAUUGACCUGAAUGCCUACCCAAUGGAGAAGGGUGCGGUGCUUCCCAAGUCUUGCUCCUUAAAUCAGUUCCUUUUCCAAUAUAAAUCUUCUAAUUAUGUAUGAUAACUCCCUAAUGUGGGGUAUACUUACCCAAAUUAGUGGGAGUGGUAACCAGUGUUGUGACCAACUGUAAGACAGCUUUAUUAUGCUCAUAACUCACAGUCACUUCCUUUAUCCAAGUGGAUUCUAAUAUAGUCAUAGAAGACAUGUGAGCCUCACCUUUCACCUUCCUAGACAAAGAAUCUGCUACUCUAUUUUCUAUGCCUUCCUUGUAUUGUACCUCAUAAUCCAGUUCUAGUAUCUUAGUCAAUCCUUUUUGCUGCAAAGUAGUGGUGAGCUUUUGUUAUAAUAAGUAAGACUGUGAUGGUCAGUUCUAGUAAUAAAAUUCCCUACCAAUAGGUUAUGUCUCUGUCUCUCUAUUGUAGAUAAAAUUGCUAAGUAUUCUUUCUCAUUUGUAGACAACCGCCAAUGUUUAGAGCUAUAACUUUGCUAAAAUAUGCUAUAGGUAUACUUUCUUGCAUUAACACUACUCUUAUUCCUAUAUCACAAGCAUCGGUCUCCACUAUGAAAGCCAUAGAUAAAUUAACUAAAGCCAGUACAAGGGCAGUGAUCAUUGCUUGUUUUAACUCUUCAAAGGUACUAUCAGCUUCUGAGCUCCAAAUGAAAGAAUUCUUCUUUAAUAAGGCAGUGAGGGGCUUACUAAUCCACCCAUAGUUCUUGAGAAACCUCCUAUAGUAUCUUGUAAGUCCCAAAAACUCCCUUAAUACCAAAGGGUUUUUGGAACUGGCUAAAAUACAUUGUUUCAAUCUUGGUAGGGUCUGUUUUAACUCCUUUACUGGUGAUUAUGUGACCAAGGUCUUCCACCUUGUUCUAACCAAAGGCAUACUUAGAUUUCUUAGCAUAAAGUUGUUCCUUGCUAAAAAUUUGUAGUAUCUUCCUUAAGUGUUCACCAUACUCGUGUAUAAUACUACUAUAGACAAAAAUGUCAUAAAAAAGACUAGAAAAAAGUGUUUUAAGUAAUCCCAGAAAAUGAUAAGAGGCUAUUUCUCCUGAAACAUAGUUCAUCAGGCUUUACAAGGUGUUUGGGGAAUUAGUCAAGCCAAAAGGCAUGACUUUAAACUCAUAAUUCCCCAAAUGCGUUCUAAAGGCAGUCUUGUAGAUAUCAAUACUAUUUAUCCUUUUGGUGGUAGCUUGCCUUAGAUCAAUCUUGGAAAAUACUAAAUCCCCAUACAAUUCAUCCAACAAAUCAUCCACCAAUGGAAUAAUAAAUUUAUCCUUAAUGGUCAUAUUGUUUAAUUCUCUAAAAUCCACACAAAACCUCCAUGUACCAUGCUUCUUUUUUACCGAUAACACCGGCAUAAGAAGGGAGAAUGACUAUCUUGGAUAUUUUAUUUGUUUUCAAUAUAUUUUUUCUAAAAACCAAUUGUACCUAUAUGGUCUAAUACUAACAAAUACUGUUUCAGGUUUUAAUGGAAUGAAAUAGUCAUGUUGCCUCUGUGGUAGUAGGGUACUGGGAUCUUGAAACACAUUCUCAAAUUCCUCCAGCUUUGAAUUUAAACUCAGGGGUAAAUUUUAUUGUUCUCUUCCAUCAAAUGAUGUCUUGGUAAAGAGAUGACCCAUAUUGACUUUCUUUUUUAAGUAGUUGUCUCACACUAUUGGUUAACAUGCUCUGCAGAUUGGGUUUAUGGUAAAUACUUUGUUCCUCACCUUAUUACCUUGGUGUGUGGCCCGAGCCUCAUAUGCUACAAAAUCCAUUACAUUUAGAUUAUGACUCUACAUCUAGUCACCUUCUAAAAUUAUAUCACAGGCUUCUAAUUUCACAAGUUUAAUGGAGUCUGUCAACUCUAUUCCUUGGAUUUUCCACCUGAACUUGGGACAAAAAUGGUGCCUCAUUAGUAGUUUUCCAUUUGCAACUAUGACUCUCAUAGGAUUAACUUCCUUAAUAGUGCAUGCCAUCUCUUUAGCUACAGUCAGGUCUAGGAAACUAUGGGUGCUACCUGAAUCUAAGAGAAUAAUUAACUCUUUCUUUCCCACCUCUCCUUUCAGCAUGAUAGUGCUUGAAACUUCAACAUUUGAUAGUGCAUAGGCUUCCUCAACUAGCAUUUCUUCAGUAAACUUUUAUAUUAACUCUGUUUCUUUUAUUACAGGUUCUUCAGUUUCAUUUUCCUGAUCUUCACAACCUAUUAAGGCAUUUAGUUAUUUAUUCUUGCAUUGAUGACCAUAAUGGUAUCUGCACUUGAAACAUAAACCUUAGGCUUUCCUUGACUUGAAUAGUUUAUUGUUGGUUUAGUUUAAUCGUCUUUGACCUUUCUUAACCCCAUUGGUGCUCUUCUUGUUGGUGAAGGUUAUAGGAUUUGUAUUAACUAAUCUACUCCACUACACUCUACUCUUUCUAUUGGCCAUCUCUAUCACCUUCUCCCGAUGCCUUGCCUUAUUCAAUGCUUGGCUCAAGGUAAACAAUGCAAGUAUCUUUACAAUAUGCUUAAUUUCCUCCUUUAAUCCUUCAAUGAAAAAAUCCAAGAAAAAUUCUUCAGGUAUAGUAGGAUUGCAGAUCAAAACCCAAGAUUUCAAAUCCUCAAACCUUUCCGAAUACUCAUCAACACUCCUUUUUUGUUCGACCUUCUUAAAUUCUCUCAACAAAUUCAAUACACUAUUGUUAGUGCCUGCAAACCUUCUAUAAAUUACCUCUAUGAACUGCGCCCAAUUAACUGCUCCUCUACUAAGAUGACAAGAGAAAUAUCAUGACGCUGCCCUUCCACUAAGAUGUAAAACAGCAACUUUCAAUUCCUCUUUUGGAUUCACAAUGUGAUUAUACUGAAAAUAACUCACAUUUUCUCAACCACGCUUGAGGAUCACCUUCUUCAAAAUAUGAAAAUUCAAUUUUGUUGUGGAAUGAAUUCACUUGACUUUGUCUUCCUGCAGAUACUCCAUUAUUGUUCGUAUCACGACUACCACUCAAAGCCCCAUCUUGAAGAUUAGUUGUUGCACCCAAAAUUCCAUCCUUCACCGGAGCCAAUCUCUCCAUGAACAUAUCCAACUUUCGACCUAGGUCAUUAAUACCAAACACAUAAACAGAAGUGAAAAAACAGGGACAAAUCAAAUUUGAUUUACAAUCAAACAGGCCUUUAUGGAGACGGAGCCAAUGUUGUGACUGUAAAUGUAAAUGCAAAUAAACCUCAAGUUUCAAAUCAAAUCAAUAUUAUUUUUUUUUGUUUAACUUUUUUUUUAAAUUUCUUUUUAUUCUUAAUCAAUAUUGCUCUUUGAUCAUUUUUUUUUUGUUUGGUUCGAAAUUAUCUUGACUGACUCUUCCAUUUGUUUUUUUUUUCCUGUCUCAACGCCAGCAAAUGAUAUUUGAUUAAGAAUUUUAAAAAAUGGAUAAGACAAAUUUCAAAAAAAUAAAUAAAUAAAAUUAUACCCCAAGGCUUACCAAACCGAAGGACAAAUUAUCCAAGCACCUCUACUAGUAUGAUACCUUCUCUAGUGUGCUAACCUUAGGCAUGUUUAAUGAACCUUUGGAUAAGUUAACUGAUCUACUUAGCAGUAAAUCCAUAGUAUUAGUGUUCGGGCUAUUAUACAAAAAUGUAAUUAUUAUUUUCACUUAACAUAUUGUUCUUCAAAAAAGUUAAUUAUUUUGAUCAAUUGUAUGAUUAACUGAAUUGGACUCCCCAAUUGUGUAAUCCAUGUACUGUGACAUCUCAUCUUGUCCUAAAGUUUAAAAACAAUAAAAAUAUGUUUUAACUUAAAAUGGUUCCGAAACACCAACAGGCUAAGUGAUUCUUGAGCAAAAAUAAACCAAAAAAAGAUUUAUAUAGGCGAUACCGAUUAGUUUUUAGGGGUGGUCGCAAUCAACAAUCCACCUUUUUUUGUCAUAAAGGAAACCAAAAUAGGUUUAAAGAUCGAUCCCAGCCUAGAUCCAAAGGGGGGCUUAACAGCUUGAACUUCUCUCGUUGGAACAAGGCUGCAUUAUACAAAGCUGUUAUGCGCAAUUGCAAAGAAUAAGGACAAGCUUUGGGUCUGAUGGAUCCAUAGCUUCUACAUCAAAGGAAAACUAUAGGAUUCUGCCGAAUCCCCUAAGGGAGCGAGUUGGCUAGUGAGGGAGAUAUUUGAUACAAGAGGAUGAACUGGACAGAUGUUCCGCUAACUCCGGCUUUAGCAUCAAGAAGGCCUACAGUUCUUUUAUCCCUCAAUCGCAAAAGAUUCCAUGGAAGAAGCUAUUAAUGGUGAGAGGAUUGGUUCCUAUACAUCACUUCAUUCUAGCUUUGCAUAGAAGAUUGUCAACUGUCGAUAGGUUGGUAAAAUGGGGCAUUAAAGUGGACAAAUAGUGCGUUUUAUGUACAGUGGAUGUUGAGGGAACUCUCUCCCAUUUACUCUUUGAGAGCUCCUCUAUUUGACAGACUCUAUUUGGCACAGAUCACUCAGUAGAUGGAUAGGAAUGAGAACAGGCUCGUAAGAUCAUGGGAGGAAGAAAUCGCAUGGCUAUCGCAAAUGGUCAACGAUUGCAAUCCACUAAGGACCAUUCUGCAUGGAGCGUAAUGGUCGCAGGUUCCAACAGAGGCAUCGGGAUAGUGAAAUCAUGAUCAAGGACAUUGCACUUAAUGUGCACUUAGUGGGACACAGACAAUACAAAUGGAGAAAGGUUUUGCAUAACAUGUUAGGCUAUCCUUGAGUCUAUAUUGCUUUCAGAUGGAGCAGAGUAGCAUAGCAUAAAGUUUAUAGUGGUCUGUCUUUGAUCUAGUCCUGAAUCCAAAGGACUAGCAGGUGUGAAUAUGCUUACAUGGUAAAUAGAAAAAAAUCAUUUAACCAAAAAAAGAAAUUCCA